UUAAGAGGAUGACUAUAAUAUCUGAAAAACACUUUCUUUCUUUACAGAGACUUUUGGAGCUUCUUCAUAAUUAUGUAAAUAACAUUUCCCAGAAAAAAAGGGUGGCUUCAGGAGCACACAGCCUCUGCAGCUGCCCAGGUGCACACCCAGUCUCGCACAUGCUUACUGCUUUACUGUUGCUGUCCUGAGCUAGUGACACAGAAAACACCAGCCCAGCGCGAGGUGUCCCGUGACUGGACCAGAACGCUUAGCUCCAGGACCAGGUGCAGAUUUUCUCUCCACAGAACUAGUCAGUUUAUGUGCCUGGCGGCUAUGAAAUUGUUCCCCUGGCUCACUGGCUCUGCACUGACUGGGUUUUAGAUUCGCCCCGUUUUCCUCUCUAAUCCCGAGAGGAAGAAGGUUCUGGAACUGCUAUAGGCAAUGCCCGAGACUGGGAUGGGGGUGGCCAGUGGACUGGUGGUUGUCUGAGUAGCUGUGUUCUGUGCAUGGAGCUGGAUUCGUAGGGCUGUUAUUUCAGCUUCUGACAAAUGCUGACAUAAUGACUUUGUCAGGCAAGCUCUAGAGGAGUAGAGUAAAGAUCUUAGCUCUGGGAAUUCUCAGAUAUUAAAAAUGAAUAUGCAAGAAAGUGCUUGUCAAGGAAAAAAGUGGG
rnacentral:lncRNA from 1 species